UUGUUGGUAAGGUAAAGGCUUACCAAGGCUUCGAUCAGUAGCUGGUCUGAGAGGACGACCAGCCACACUGGGACUGAGACACGGCCCAGACUCCUACGGGAGGCAGCAGUGGGGAAUUUUGGACAAUGGGGGCAACCCCGAUCCAGCCAUGCCGCGUGAGUGAAGAAGGCCUUCGGGUUGUAAAGCUCUUUCAGCCGGAACGAAACGGUUACGGUUAAUACCCGUGACUACUGACGGUACCGGAAGAAGAAGCACCGGCUAACUACGUGCCAGCAGCCGCGGUAAUACGUAGGGUGCGAGCGUUAAUCGGAAUUACUGGGCGUAAAGCGUGCGCAGGUGGUUUUGUAAGUCAGAUGUGAAAGCCCCGGGCUCGACCUGGGAACUGCGUUUGAAACUACAAGACUAGAGUGUGGCAGAGGGGGGUGGAAUUCCGCGUGUAGCAGUGAAAUGCGUAGAGAUGUGGAGGAACACCGAUGGCGAAGGCAGCCCCCUGGGUCAACACUGACGCUCAGGCACGAAAGCAUGGGGAGCAAACAGGAUUAGAUACCCUGGUAGUCCAUGCCCUAAACGAUGUCAACUAGUUGUCGGGCCUUUACGGGCUUGGUAACGUAGCUAACGCGUGAAGUUGACCGCCUGGGGAGUACGAUCGCAAGAUUAAAACUCAAAUGAAUUGACGGGGACCCGCACAAGCGGUGGAUUAUGUGGAUUAAUUCGAUGCAACGCGAAAAACCUUACCUACCCUUGACAUGUAUCGAAGCCCGCAGAAAAGCGGGGGUGCCCGAAAGGGAACGAUAACACAGGUGCUGCAUGGCUGUCGUCAGCUCGUGUCGUGAGAUGUUGGGUUAAGUCCCGCAACGAGCGCAACCCUUGUCAUUAAUUGCCAUCAUUUAGUUGGGCACUUUAAUGAGACUGCCGG
rnacentral:rRNA from 1 species